rnacentral:rRNA from 1 species
AGUCUCUGCUAAAGGCUACUGAAGUAUAGAGGGUGAAUUCUGCCCAAUGGUUGUAUAGUGAAACUGAGGACUAACGUCUAAAGCGAAACCCAACUGAAUGGCCGCGGUAACUCUGACCGUGAUAAUGUAGCACAAUAAAUAGCCAAUUAAUUGUUGGCGGGUAUGAAUGGAACCACGAGGGUCUUACUGUCUCAAGAGGAAAGCCGAUGAAAUUAUAGUUGUAGUGAAGAUACUACAUAAACAUUGUAAGACGAAAAGACCCUAUCGAGCUUUACUGGAUACCGAUAGCGUUAACUUAAAAUGAUCGAUACUAAGUAUCCUAAUUUUGAGUUAAUAAUUUUUGUUGGUAGGACAGUUUAGUUGGGGCGACUACCUUUGAAUAAGAAACGAAGGCGAGCUUAUGGUAUACAAAGCUAAUCUCAUUAGCCUGACAGUGAGGGGGACACCCCUAGCUGGCACAAGGACUACGUCCUAUGUGGGCGAUAAUGACCCGAUAUGAUUGUCCAAAAUAAAUAUCGAAAGCGGAUAAAAGCUACCGUAGGGAUAACAGCGUAAUAUUGUCGGAGAGUUCUUAUCGAGGACAGUGUUUGCGACCUCGAUGUUGAAUUGCGGUGCCCUGGUGCUGUAGAAGGUACCUUAGGUUGGUCUGUUCGACCAUGAAAACCG